UUUACGAGGAAGAAGAUCGAGGAUCUCUCAAUCGGCUUGUUAUCGGGUUAAAGUUUAAUUUUAAAAUUAAUUCUGGUUAAAAAUGGCAAAAUUCUAUCUUGGAGAAAUUUAUAUAUAUAUAUAUAUAUAUGUAUAUAUGUUUGAGAAUAUUUUGUAGAAUCGUGAUCGUGUGUCCAUUUCAUUUUUUUAAAAAAGAUUUUUCUUAAAUCGAUUCAAUCGAUGGUUUUAGUUGUGACUAAAAAUGGCAAAAUCGAUCUUGAUUCGCAGGCAACUUUGAGAAAACAGAGGAGAUCGCAGCUGUAUUUGUUCACCGAUUUCAUGUUGAACAGUCGAUUCAAGAGGUGGUUCGAUGGCUGGCCUGAUUUAAAACGACAAGCUUCUGUCGAGACUUGGUUCGUCGAAGCCGUGAACAUAAUAUCUUGUUCGAUGGAAAUUCGUAGACGGCUUUGACGUAAAUGUAAAGAGAUCAAAGGAGAGUUGGAAUCGUGUGUGUUCACUCGGUGCAGGAAUGCGGCAAAAAGAUUGAAGAUAGAGGAAGAAAAAGAAUGGCGAAACACCAAGUUCUCCGUGAAAUUUCUCCCCUUUUGACAAGGAGUUGAUUGAGUUACAACAGUUGAAACGAAAUUAUAAGGGAGGAAGGGGAUGAGAGAGGAAAGCAGCUAUCGCCAACGAUCGAUCUACGAGCAUCCGACGAGGUAUCGACUAGCAACACACGGUGCAAAAGAUCACGGGUGUUGCACCAUGCACGCAGCAAGGUCCACCAUAACUUAAUCCACGUAAGUCGCCUACACACCGAUGUUGGCGAUGCCUGACCCGCGGAUCGUUUAUUUCGCGUAUCCACGGGCACGACGGUGGAGCGUGUAUUACGAGGCUGUCUCGUUUAUUCAGACUCGCUUUCUGCCUCGAUUUAUCGAACCACGACAGAUAAGCCUGGGCCCUGGAAACGCAUCAGGCGAUGCCUAAGCGAUUUGCCUUGCUCCGGAUAAACGAUCGCGCGUGCGUUUCAAAAAUUGUGUAAUAAAGUUGU